rnacentral:rRNA from 1 species
UACGGGGGGGGCAAGCGUUGUUCGGAAUUACUGGGCGUAAAGGGCUCGUAGGCGGUCUGUCGCGUCUGCUGUGAAAACUCAGGGCUUAACCCUGAGCUUGCAGUGGGUACGGGCAGACUAGAGUGCGGUAGGGGAGACUGGAAUUCCUGGUGUAGCGGUGAAAUGCGUAGAUAUCGAGAGGAACACCUGGCGGCGAAGGCGGGUUGCU